UGGGGAAUCUUGGGCAAUGGGCGCAAGCCUGACCCAGCGACGCCGCGUGUGGGAAGAAGGCCUUCGGGUCGUAAACCACUGUCAGGAGGGAAGAAAAGCGGCUCCCAAACAGGGGGCUGUUUUGACGGUACCUCCACAGGAAGCACCGGCCAACUCCGUGCCAGCAGCCGCGGUAAUACGGAGGGUGCAAGCGUUAUUCGGAAUCACUGGGCGUAAAGCGCGCGUAGGCGGCAGCGCAAGUCAGAUGUGAAAGCCCUCGGCUAAACCGGGGAAUUGCAUCUGAAACUGCGUAGCUAGAGUUCGGGAGAGGGCGGCGGAACUCCCGGUGUAGGGGUGAAAUCCGUAGAUAUCGGGAGGAACACCAGAGGCGAAGGCGGCCGCCUGGACCGAAACUGACGCUGAGGCGCGAAAGCGUGGGUAGCAAACA
rnacentral:rRNA from 1 species